AAACACAUUUUUAGGGACCAAAAUUAUUAUUAGACUUGGCUAAAUAAAAUUACAAGUUGGAAGCUUAGUGCUGGUGAUGUUGAGGUUAUGUGACCAUGCUGUAGCUCUUUUAUAGCCUAACAUUAGCUUUUUACUUCUGGUGAUUGUAUUUUUAUUGGUUUCUGGUAGGUUAAGCUAACAUACUGUAGCCCAUGUCCACACAGCACAGCUCAGACUUGUUAUCAUAUAUGAACAGAAAUUUUACAUCUCUGCAUGAACAUGAUAAAUGCAGUAAAUUAUAGAAUCCAACACUCAGGGUUUACACAACCGAGUGACUGGCUAGACCAGUUUUACAGUGUAACAGUUCCUUACUUUGAAAACAUGAAUAAAACUAGUAUUUAAACCAAGCAAACAUCAUAGUUAUAACUAAAGACACAUUUUAGUAUUCAAUGUUUCACCUACAAUGACUGUGAUGUGAGGGCAUCUUGACCGACAGGGGGGGUGAUAGGUACAUUAUAUAGAGAGGACUAGGGUUUUCUUCCGUUAGCAGACAGCGCGGGUAACAUAAGGCUGAUCACUUGGAUUGACCCUCUAUCUCUAUCCAGCUAUGAUUUACAGAGACUUACAACACGUGUCGGAGCUUUUCAAAAAUCUUAACGGCGAGCUGUCGCCCUGCUGAGACGAUGGUAGGGGAAACACUGGUAUUAACUCUUACAACAAAGGAACUGCAGAAACACUGUCACGGUGGACAAACGCAUCCAGGUCUACCCCAAUCAGAAGCCCUGGAUGACCUGGGGAGGUCCAGUGGUCGCAUCAGAGAGGCCAAGUGAGACUAUAGGAGGAGGAUCGAGGACCACCUAGACAGCAACAAUAACAGGCGGGUGUGGCAGGGGAUCCAGUAUCUUACCAACUAUAGGACAAACCUCGGAGCUGCUGAAGGUGACGUCUCACUGACAGAGAAGCUGAAUCUCUUCUAUGCCCGCUUCGAGGUGGAGCUACCAGAGGCAGCCACACCACACCCUACAGUCCACAGCAGCUUCACCCUCACUGUAGAGGAGCAUGAGGUGAGGCGCACUCUGCGGGCUGUCAACCUGAGGAAGGCUGCUGGACCCGACAGCGUCUCUGGACGCGUGCUGAAGGACUGCGCAGACCAGCUAGCUGGAGUCUUUACCAGGAUUUUCAACCAAACCCUGUCCCAGUCCACUGUCCCACCCUGCCUGAAGUCCUCCACCAUAGUCCCCCUGCCCAAGAAACCCCACAUUUACAGCCUUAAUGACUACCAGCCAGUUGCACUCACUCCAGAGGUGAUGAAGUGCUUUUGUCAGGGGCCAUAUCACAUCACUCCUCCCCCAAAGUUUUGACCCCCACCAGUUUGCUUAUAGAGCGAAUAGAUCUACAGAAGACGCCGUAGCCACAGCCCUUCAUGCUGCACUGUCCCACCUGGAGCAGCAGGGGAGCUACAUGCAGCUGCUCUUUGUAGACUACAGCUCUGCGUUCAACACCACAAACCCCCCGCCACAAACUAAGGGACCUGGGUCUUCAGCUUCCUGUCUGGUCGCAGCCAGAGGGUCAGAGUGGGCCAUCGUACAUUUACGGCCCUCAGGCUUAGUACCGACUCCCCACAGGGCUGUGUGCUGAGCCCCCUGCUCUACACCCUUUACACAUAUGACUGCACCCCCGUCCACCACAGCAACACCAUGUAAAGGACGACACCACAGUGAUGGGGCUCAUCUCUGAGGGGGACGAGUCUGCCUAUAGGGACGAGGUGGAGCACCUGACAGUGUGGUGCAGAGAGAACAACCUGCUCCUCAACACUUCAAAGACCAAGGAGCUUAUAAUAGACCUCAGGAAGAAGAAAACUGACAUUCCACUACUGAUCAUCAGUGGGGACUGUGUAGAGAGGGUGGUGGACUUCUGCUUCCUGGGAGUUCACAUUGAGGAGGACCUGCCCUGGAGCGUGAACACCUCUGAGCUGCUGAAAAAGGCCCAGCAGAGACCACACUUCCUGAGGGUGCUCAGGAGAAAUAGCAUCACCCAGAGACUGCUGGUGUCCUUUUUCAGUGCUCCACAGAGAGCAUCCAUCAUACUGUAUAUGUGUGUGGUACAUCAGCUGUACAGUGGCUCAGAGGAAAGCUCUUCAGAGGGUCAUUAACACGGCCCAGAGGAUCGUCAGCUGCCCUCUCCCCACACUGGAAGAUCUACACAGUUCCUGCUGUCUCAAAAAAGCUCAUAACAUCAUAAAGGACACUUCUCACCCUGGACACAGUCUGAACUGCUGCUGUCAGGCAGAUGGUACAGAUCAAUUAAAACAAGAACAAACAGAUUCGAGAACAGUUUUUACCCAACAGCAAUAACCACACUCAAUGCAGCCAAAAACAUAACCUGAGGUACGAUAAGAACAGAAUGGAUGGUGUGUUUGUGUGUGUGUUCCACAAGGGUCAGUGCUUGGACCAAUCCUCUUCACUCUGUAUAUGCUUCCCUUAGGCAAUAUUAUCAGAAAACACUCCAUAAAUUUCCAUUGUUAUGCAGAUGAUACACAGCUUUAUCUGUCAAUGGAACCUGAUGAAACCUAUCAGCUAGUCAAACUACAGGCUUCUAUUAGGGACAUUAAAACCUGGAUGACAAGCAAUUUUUUAUUACUGAACUCAGAUAAAACUGAAGUCAUUGUACUUGGUCCUGAACACAUCAGAAACAAACUUUCUAAUGAUGUAGUUCCAUUAGACGGCAUUGCCCUGGCUCCCAGCUCCACUGUAAAGAAUCUGGGAGUCAUCUUUGAUCAGGAUAUGUCCUUUAACUCACACAUAAAACAAACUUCUAGAACUGCCUUCUUUCACCUGUGUAAUAUCACCAAAAUUAGACAUUUUCUGUCUCAAAAAGAUGCAGAAAAACUAGUCCAUGCAUUUGUUACUUCUAGGCUGGACUACUGUAAUUCAUUAUUAUCAGGCUGCCCCAACAAGUCUCUAAAGACUCUGCAGCUGAUUCAAAAUGCUGCAGCACAAUUACUGACAGAAACUAGGAAAAGAGACCAUAUUUCUCCUGUGUUAGCCUCUCUACAUUGGCUCCCAGUCAAAUCCAGAGUAGAAUUCAAAAUCCUCCUCCUCACUUACAAAGCCCUUAAUGGUCAGGCUCCAUCUUACCUUAAAGAUCCCAUAGUCCCCUACAAUCCCACUAGGACUCUGUGCUCCCAGAAUGCUGGUUUACUGGUGGUUCCCAGAGUUUCCAGCAGUAGAAUGGGAGGCAGAGCCUUCAGUUAUCAGGCUCCUCUACUGUGGAACCUUCUCCCAGUUUGGGUCCAGGAGGCAGACACCCUCUGUACCUUUAAGAGUCGGCUUAAAACUUUCCUCUUUGACAAAGCUUAUAGUUAGGGUUGGCUCAGGCUUGAACAAUCCCUUAGUUAUGCUGCUAUAGGCCUAGACUGCUGGGAGAUCUCCCAUGAUGCACUGAGCUUCUCUCUCUCUCUCUCUCUCUCUCUCUCUCUCUGUAUAUUACAUGUUACUAACUCAGUAUCUUCUCUUUCCUGUAGUAUUGUGCUCUCCCGUCUCUCUCUCCUCUUCUGUCUCUUUCUGCAGGUGUUUCUGCCUCUGGAGCUGUAGAGUCUGAUCUGUGAUGACAAGUCUCCUGCUGCUCCUACAACUCCACUCAACACCUGCUGCUAGAAUUAGAAAUUACUUACACUGCUAUUAGUUGUAUUGCUAUGUUAGCAGUUAAUACUUUAAUUAUCACUACUAUCAUUACUACUGCUGUAUUACUGGUAUCACCUUACAUUUUAUAUGGAACCUGUGUUAUGCUGCCCCCCCUCCCCCCUCUUAACCCAACCAGUCGGGGGAAAGGCCACCCACCCUGAUUCUGGUUCUGCCUCUUAAAAGGAAGGUUUUCCUCUCCACUGUCUCCUAGUGCUGCUCAUGGUGGGAUCUGUUGGGUCUCUCUCUGUAAAUACCUAUUUUAAAGAGUCUGGUCUAGACCUGCUCUAUAUGAAAAGUACCUUGAGAUGACUUUUGUUGUGAUAUGGCGCUAUAUAAAUAAAACUGAAUUGAAUUGUG